rnacentral:lncRNA from 1 species
GGAGCAGUCCACAGCAGAGGGAAAGGAGGAGUGAGUGUAUUCACCCAGCUCCCUCCUGUGUCUUAUUUCUCAUUGUUCAAGGCUUACUCCCUAGGGGGCUCACUCCCACACUCUAGAUCUUGUCAUCUGGCUACACAGGAGCUAAUUCCCACUCGACUUAGUGUUUCAUCUGAGUCUGAAAGUGGAGGGGCAACUCAGCAUGGGUCAGACACCAACCGAGAGAGAAAGAAGGAAGGAGUCAGGAACCUGAAAUAGAACAAGUCCAUCUGCAGUCUUGGAUUUUCUCUGAGUUCUUCUGAAUAAGAAGUCAACAUUCCAUUGUUGCCCAAAUAAACAGAAGUGGAUGCACUAUUGUGAGAAGGAGUGGAACCAGAUGAAACAUAAACCAUAAAUCUCCUCUGCCUGGUCAGAUCAGGCCAACUGGGAACCUUCCAGCAGAUAAUGGUGCAUCAUGCCCCAUUAUGUACUGGCCCUUGCUUUGCCUUCUGCAUUGGCCCUCCGCAGCAACAUACAGGGCGAGAAACAAUGACUGAAGAAAAGCCAGAGUGAAUUCCUGAGACGGAAGGUUUUCCAUCCGGAGCUUCAGCUGGAUUGCAGUCACAGUGAAGAAAAGAAUACUUCAAGAAAACAAAUGCUGAUUUUUCAUGAGUAAAAUGUUCCUGUUCCUUCUUGUUUUCAACUAAGACACAAGUAGAUUGCUGAGCUACAACAUGGAAAAUUUGAGCAUUUUGAAAAGGCUGGAGCUUUCAAAAUACCACCAAUAUAACUAAAGUUUAUUGUCUAUAACCAUCUACUGUCCCACAUGCUUAUCUGGAAAGGCGUGCCCUGCAAAGGAUGUGGAACCGUAAAAGGCAAUUGUCCUUGGUAGAGACAACAGCUUCCUGGAAUUCAACAGUCCUGUUUCCUGUAAUUUUCAUCUUUGGGAAAACCAUUAUUUCUAUGAGAUGUGACAUUUAUUUAUGGUAUUGUUUUUUAAAAAAUUGUCUAACUUGAGCCAUUUUCUAAUACCUACAUAAGGACAAAAUUAU